AUUGAACGCUGGCGGCAUGCCUAACACAUGCAAGUCGAACGCGUCGCGGACGGGUGCUUCAUGUCUGGGAAACUGCCUGAUGGCUGGGGAUAACUCCUGGAACCGGUACCUAAUACCGAAUAUCCUCCGAUGUUCCCAGAUUGGAUUCUCCUGUUGGUGGGGUAACGGCUCACCAAGGCGACGAUCCCUAGCUGGUCUGAGAGGAUGACCGGCCACACUGGAACUGAGACACGGUCCAGACUCCUACGGGAGGCAGCAGUAGGGAAUAUUGCGCAAUGGGCGAAAGCCUGAUGGAGCAAUGCCGCGUGUGUGAAGAAGGCCUUCGGGUUGUAAAGUACUGUAAUCAGGGAAGCGUUACCCGAAGAAGAAGCAACGGCUAACUCCGUGCCAGCAGCCGCGGUAAUUC
rnacentral:rRNA from 1 species